CAUGCAGUCGAGCGAGAAAGGGAACUUCGGUUCCUGAGUAAAGCGGCGGACGGGUGAGUAACACGUGGGUAAUCUGCCCUUGGGUGGGGAAUAACUCAGGGAAACCUGGGCUAAUUCCGCAUGACACUUUCGAUACAUACGUAUUGAGAAUCAAAGCUGGGGACCCUUCGGGGCCUGGCGCCUGAGGAGGAGCCCGCGGCCAAUUAGCUUGAUGGUGAGGUAAUGGCUCACCAUGGCUACGAUUGGUAGCCGGCCUGAGAGGGCGGACGGUCACACUGGGACUGAGACACGGCCCAGACUCCUACGGGAGGCAGCAGUGGGGAAUUUUUGUCAAUGGGGGAAACCCUGAACAAGCAACGCCGCGUGAAGGACGAAGACCUUCGGGUUGUAAACUUCUGUCGGAGGGGACGAAAGCUUUCGUGGUCAAUACCCAUGAUUGUUGACGGUACCCUAUGAGGAAGCCCCGGCUAACUCCGUGCCAGCAGCCGCGGUAAUACGGGGGGGGGCAAGCGUUGUUCGGAAUUACUGGGCGUAAAGGGCGCGUAGGCGGGCGGGAAAGUCUCUCGUGAAAUCCCACGGCUCAACCGUGGAACUGCGGGAGAUACUACUCGUCUUGAGUUC
rnacentral:rRNA from 1 species